AGCGUAGGCGGACUUUUAAGUGAGAUGUGAAAUACCCGGGCUCAACUUGGGUGCUGCAUUUCAAACUGGAAGUCUAGAGUGCAGGAGAGGAGAAUGGAAUUCCUAGUGUAGCGGUGAAAUGCGUAGAGAUUAGGAAGAACACCAGUGGCGAAGGCGGCUUACUGGACGGUAACUGACGUUGAGGCUCGAAAGCGUGGGGAGCAAACA
rnacentral:rRNA from 1 species